CGAACGGGUGAGUAACGCGUGAGGAACCUGCCUCAAAGAGGGGGACAACAGUUGGAAACGACUGCUAAUACCGCAUAAGCCCACGGCUCGGCAUCGAGCAGAGGGAAAAGGAGUGAUCCGCUUUGAGAUGGCCUCGCGUCCGAUUAGCUAGUUGGUGAGGUAACGGCCCACCAAGGCGACGAUCGGUAGCCGGACUGAGAGGUUGAACGGCCACAUUGGGACUGAGACACGGCCCAA
rnacentral:rRNA from 1 species